rnacentral:pre_miRNA from 1 species
UAAUUUCCAGGUGAGUUUGAAAUUGAAAUGCCUAAAUUGUUUUGUGUACAAUUUAAAUUCGAUUUCUUAUUCAUAGGUGC